AGCCGCUAGCGCUAGCAAUCCCCCCUCAAAGAAGAUUGGAGAGUGGGCCGCGGUGUGGGAUGGGUAUAUUUGGGGCGGAAGGAAAUGCAGACAUUCAGAGCGAAAGAGAAGUCAGAGACACUGUUUUUUUUGUUCAAGCUAGAAGCAAAUGAAAAACUCACUUCAAAAGUAACAAUCCUAAGCUCCUCCCCUUUUUAAGGAACUCACCGAGUUAGUAAAGCUGCAGUCCUAUACAUGACUGAGGAAAAGCAGCAUUCAACACGGCUGGACUAACUUCUGAUGCCCAAUCUCGAGCUCCAUACCAUGCAUCUAGCACAGGAUUGGAAGCAAGGUGCACCUACAUGGCAGCAAGAACAGUCAAGAAGCCUGGUUAGUGAAAGUAUGUGUCACAGAACAAGAAUGGCAAUGCAUGAGCAAUCAUCGGAAGAAUCAUCUUCUCCUCUGUGGACCUACCUGUUCCCUAAGAUCGUCUUCUGAGGUCCUGCGCCACCUGUACUUGCCUUUUGGACAUUUUCAGCUGGCAGCUGGGAAGAGGGCCUCUUCUAUGGUCGUGUCCUGCUUAUGGAAUCUCUGCCCCAGAAAUAUUUGCUUGGUGCCAACACUUAUCGUUCAGAUAACAAGCUAGAAUUGUUUUAUUUUACAGAGCAUUUAAAUGAAUGAAUUUUGUUGCUGCUGUGUUUCUUGAAUUUUGGGUUUUAUAGUUUGCCGUUUGAAUUGUAUAUUUAGAUUUUUAUUUAAUAUUUUAAGCUACCUUGGAUGCUGAUGUAGAAAGGCAGGAUAUGUGAUUUAAAUUCUCUCUCUCUCUCUCUCUCUCUCUCUCUCACUCACACACACACACACACACACACACACACACCUGUCAGUCAUUCCACUGUGGAAAAAGUACUAUGAUCUUUGAGUAUUUUCCACAGACAAAUCUCCAUGUUGCCCAUCACUGCUACUAAGCAUUCUGCCAUUCUGUGUCUGCAAGAUACAUCAUAAUUCUGACAGCAUAUGAAAUCAAUUCAAAUGCCUCGCAGCUGCCUCAUACAUAGGACAAGUUAAUUAACAUCUUGUUGGCACUGGCAUAGUGUCUUUCUCCCCCUCUUUUCCCUUAUUUGAAAUAAGUAAUAACACAAAAAUUCAUAAUAUAAUAUAAUGAAAAGGAAAGAAAAAGAACAAGCAUGGAGGCAUAUGCAGCCAUUGUACUGCGAAAUCCAAUACCACACCUGAAAAGAUGACUGGAAUGGCCUUAUUUCAAGCAGUUCCUUCUGGAUUCUGGCUUUCAUUCCAGGAUACAUCAUGUUUCCACCAGUAAGGAAGACAUUCUGGACAAGCUUUUCCUGCUGCUCUUUAGAAUACCUGGGGGGGGGUGGGGGGGAAACUGCUGUAAACUCCAUCUCUUGACAGCACAUUGUCUACCUUAAACUCAUAUUCAUGAGAUUUGUUUGUAAUCAUAUGAUCUGAUAUUUUGUUGGUCUAUGAAAAUUUAGAACCUGUAAUGCAACUGCUACAGUGGCAGCAGGUGGGCUUUAAUUAUUAUAAGGAUAGAUCAAUCACUACAAGUAGCAUUAUUUUUAAUUCCAGUUAUGGAGCUUUCUCCAAUUCAUAAACUCCUGCUUGGGGUGGGGGUAGCUUCCUUCUUCUCUGUAAUCUAUGGCCUAUUCCUUAUAUUAGCCAUAAGCUCUAUCAGCAAUUUAUAGACAGGCAUUAGAACCUUGAAUGUAAGUGGGUGUUAAUACUUGUACUUAUUCUGGAUAAAGGGGUUUAUCCAGAGACCUUUGAAAAGAUCAACCCUAUGUUUCAUCAUCAAUACAAUUCUCCCCAUUUCCUUUCUCUUAGUGACCUGUCUGUUGUCUCAUAAUAAAACAGACAUACAGUAUG